UCCUGGUUGAUCUGCCGGAGGUCACUGCUAUCGGGUUCGAUUAAGACCAUGCGAGUCGAGAGGGUUCAGACCCUCGUGUGUGACUGCUCAGUAACACGUGGAUAACCUGACCUGUGGUGGAGCAUAACCCCGUGGAAACUUGGGGAUAAUACUCCAUAAGUUACGAUAUCUGGAAUGAUUUGUAGCUCAAAGCUCCGGCGCCACAGGAUGGAUCUGCGGCCGAUUAGGUAGUAGUUGGGGUAGAGGCCCAACUAGCCUGUAAUCGGUACGGGUUGUGGGAGCAAGAGCCCGGAGAUGGAAUCUGAGACACGAUUCCAGGCCCUACGGGGCGCAGCAGUGCGCGAAAACUUUACAAUGCAGGAAACUGUGAUAAGGGAACCCCGAGUGCCCGUACACGCGGGCUGUCUUGGGUGUAUAACAUUGCACCCAAAGAAAUGGCCGGGCAAGACCGGUGCCAGACGCCAGCGGUAAUUACAGGCGGCUCGAGAUGGUGACCAAAUUAUAAUUGGGAAUUAAAGCGUACGUACAAUGAGACUGUAUAAGAUC
rnacentral:rRNA from 1 species